CAUUGCCCUGAUUCAAACCCUUCAUUGAAACCUACUAGUGGAGCUGUGGAAGGAUGUGAGUGCAGCAAGAGCGCUUGUGAACAAGAGGAACAUGUCACUCUGAAGAAGGAGAAGGAGAGUGUAGAGCAAGUCCGUACGGAUGUGGAUGUUGUCUGCUGUUAUGGAUGCAGCUGGGAUUGGUCUGGAUGUUGGGAGUACUUUGGAUGCUGGGAAUGCUUUGAAUGCUGUGAUUGUCCUGGAGUCUGUGAUUGUUUUAUUUGUUGCUGUGGCAUUCUGGAAUCGUGUUUGGGAUGUUUUUGUGACUGAUUCCUCAGUAAAUGGAUUUUUAUUGACACCAAAUCAGUCAGAAGAGAUUACAGCUUCUUCAGAAAACACUGAAUGCAAAGCCAACACCACAUUCUACAACAAACAUUAGGACGUCUUUACUGAAUGUCAUAAUGAUCAAAUUACACUAACAAAUCAAAUAGAAUAACCUAUAACCUUUUGUUUAAGUAGCCUACUGUAUGAUCACAGCUUUAAAUAUACACUUCAUGAUAGUGGAAGAGAAAGUAAACAUGGAUUGGCAUAAAAACGAGUUUCACAAGAUU